GACGAACGCUGGCGGCGUGCUUAACACAUGCAAGUCGAACGAUGAAGAAAAGAAUUGAAGCUUCGGCAGAAAUUCAUUUCGGAUUAGUGGCAGACGGGUGAGUAACGCGUGAGCAACCUACCUCUUACAAAGGGAUAGCCUCGGGAAACCGGGAUUAAUACCAUAUAACAUUGCGACGAAGCAUUUCGAUGCAAUCAAAGCUACGGCGGUAAGAGACGGGCUCGCGUCCCAUUAACCAGAUGGUGAGGUAACGGCUCACCAUAGUAACGAUGGGUAACCGGCCUGAGAGGGUGAACGGUCACACUGGAACUGAGACACGGUCCAGACUCCUACGGGAGGCAGCAGUGGGGAAUAUUGCACAAUGGAGGGAACUCUGAUGCAGCGACGCCGCGUGAGUGAUGAAGGAAUUCGUUUCGUAAAACUCUGUUCUAUGGGAAGAAAAGGACUGUACCAUAGGAGAAAGCUCCGGCUAAAUACGUG
rnacentral:rRNA from 1 species